UACGUAGGGCGUAAGCGUUAUCCGGAAUUAUUGGGCGUAAAGAGCUCGUAGGCGGUUUGUCGCGUCUGCUGUGAAAACUGGGGGCUCAACCCCCAGCCUGCAGUGGGUACGGGCAGACUAGAGUGCGGUAGGGGAGAUUGGAAUUCCUGGUGUAGCGGUGGAAUGCGCAGAUAUCAGGAGGAACACCGAUGGCGGAAGGCAGAUCUCUGGGCCGUAACUGGACGCUGAGGAGCGAAAGCAUGGGGAGCGAACAGG
rnacentral:rRNA from 1 species